rnacentral:rRNA from 1 species
AGAGUUUGAUCAUGGCUCAGAAUCAACGCUGGCGGCGUGCCUCAGACAUGCAAGUCGAACGAGAACCUUCCUUCGGGGAGGGGACAGUGGCGCACGGGUGAGUAACACGUGGGUAAUUUACCUUUGGGUGGGGAACAACAGCCGGAAACGGCUGCUAAUACCGCAUAAUGCAGCGGCUCGACAUCGAGACAGUUGUUAAAGCGGGGGAUCUUCGGACCUCGCGCCUAAAGAGAAGCCCGCGGCAGAUUAGCUAGUUGGUAGGGUAAUGGCCUACCAAGGCGACGAUCUGUAACCGGCCUGAGAGGGCGGUCGGUCACACUGACACUGACAUACGGGUCAGACUCCUACGGGAGGCAGCAGUCGGGAAUUUUGGGCAAUGGGCGAAAGCCUGACCCAGCAACGCCGCGUGAAGGAUGAAGCUUUUCGGAGUGUAAACUUCAUAAGAAUGGGAAGAAUAAGUUUAGGAUAAUACCCUGAACGAUGACGGUACCAUUUGUAAGCUCCGGCUAACUCCGUGCCAGCAGCCGCGGUAAUACGGGGGGAGCAAGCGUUGUUCGGAUUUACUGGGCGUAAAGGGCGCGUAGGCGGCGCGACAAGUCACUUGUGAAAUCUCUGGGCUCAACCCAGAACGGUCAAGUGAUACUGUCGUGCUAGAGUGCGGAAGGGGCAACUGGAAUUCUUGGUGUAGCGGUGAAAUGCGUAGAUAUCAAGAGGAACACCUGCGGCGAAGGCGGGUUGCUGGGCCGACACUGACGCUGAGGCGCGAAAGCUAGGGGAGCGAACGGGAUUAGAUACCCUAGUAGUCC